GAUGAACGCUGGCGGCGUGCCUAAUACAUGCAAGUCGAGCGAACAGACGAGGAGCUUGCUCCUCUGACGUUAGCGGCGGACGGGUGAGUAACACGUGGAUAACCUACCUAUAAGACUGGGAUAACUUCGGGAAACCGGAGCUAAUACCGGAUAAUAUAUUGAACCGCAUGGUUCAAUAGUGAAAGACGGUUUUGCUGUCACUUAUAGAUGGAUCCGCGCCGCAUUAGCUAGUUGGGAAGGUAACGGCUUACCAAGGCAACGAUGCGUAGCCGACCUGAGAGGGUGAUCGGCCACACUGGAACUGAGACACGGUCCAGACUCCUACGGGAGGCAGCAGUAGGGAAUCUUCCGCAAAGGGCGAAAGCCUGACGGAGCAACGCCGCGUGAGUGAUGAAGGUCUUCGGAUCGUAAAGCUCUGUUAUUAGGGAAGAACAAAUGUGUAAGUAACUAUGCACGUCUUGACGGUACCUAAUCAGAAAGCCACGGCUAACUACGUG
rnacentral:rRNA from 1 species